rnacentral:rRNA from 1 species
UACGGAGGGUGCGAGCGUUUGUCCGGAAUCAUUGGGCGUAAAGGGCGCGUAGGUGGCGGGACAAGCGUGCGGUGAAAGCUCGGGGCUCAACCCCGAGUCGGCCGUGCGAACUGUUUUGCUUGAGCACUGUAGAGGCAGGCGGAAUUCCGGGUGUAGCGGUGGAAUGCGUAGAGAUCCGGAAGAACACCGGUGGCGAAGGCGGCCUGCUGGGCAGUAGCUGACACUGAGGCGCGACAGCGUGGGGAGCAAACAGG